rnacentral:rRNA from 1 species
AUGUCCGCCUCCACCCAAGUCUCUUCCCUUGGCCUCAAUUAUACCACAUCCGAGCCUCUCAAUCGAACCAACUAUGUCCUCUGGAAAGCCCAAGCUCACUCCCAAAUCAUGGGAGCUGGGCUAUAUGGGUACAUCAAUCAAUCCACACCCGAACCCACCAAGACCAUCGUGACCAAGAACUCCGAUGGGAAAGAAGAGACCGUUCCUAACCCUGCCUACAACCCCUAGCUCGUCCAGGACCAGCAGAUCAUGGCAUAUCUCCUCCGGAACCUCUCCAAGGAAGUUCUUGUUCAGGUUGCAUCCCUA